GACAGAGGGUGCAAACGUUGCUCGGAAUUACUGGGCGUAAAGCGCGUGUAGGCGGUUCCGCAAGUCAGGUGUGAAAGCCCAGGGCUCAACCCUGGAAGUGCACUUGGUACUACGGAGCUUGAGUACUGAAGAGGAGAGCGGAAUUCCCGGUGUAGAGGUGAAAUUCGUAGAUAUCGGGAGGAACACCAGUGGCGAAGGCGGCCACCUGGACGAACACUGACGCUGAGACUCGAAAGCGUGGGGAGCAAACAGG
rnacentral:rRNA from 1 species